rnacentral:rRNA from 1 species
AAUGAACGCUGGCGGCAGGCCUAACACAUGCAAGUCGAACGAGUGGCGGACGGGUGAGGAAUGUCUGGGAAACUGCCUGAUGGAGGGGGAUAACUACUGGAAACGGUAGCUAAUACCGCAUACCAUCAGAUGUGCCCAGAUGGGAUUAGCUAGUAGGUGGGGUAAUGGCUCACCUAGGCUGGGAUCCCUAGCUGGUCGGAGAGGAUGACCAGCCACACUGGACUGGAGACACGGUCCAGACUCCUACGGGAGGCAGAAGUGGGGAAUAUGGGACAAGGGGGGCAAGCCUGAUGCAGACAUGCGGCGUGUGUGAAGAAGGCCUUCGGGUUGUAAAGCACGUUCAGCGAGGAGGCGUUACUCGCAGAAGAAGCACCGGCUAACUCCGUGCCAGCAGCCGCGGUAAUUC